UGGGGAAUUUUGGACAAUGGGGGAAACCCUGAUCCAGCCAUCCCGCGUGUGCGAUGAAGGCCUUCGGGUUGUAAAGCACUUUUGGCAGGAAAGAAACGUCAUGGGUUAAUACCCCGUGAAACUGACGGUACCUGCAGAAUAAGCACCGGCUAACUACGUGCCAGCAGCCGCGGUAAUACGUAGGGUGCAAGCGUUAAUCGGAAUUACUGGGCGUAAAGCGUGCGCAGGCGGUUCGGAAAGAAAGAUGUGAAAUCCCAGAGCUCAACUUUGGAACUGCAUUUUUAACUACCGGGCUAGAGUGUGUCAGAGGGAGGUGGAAUUCCGCGUGUAGCAGUGAAAUGCGUAGAUAUGCGGAGGAACACCGAUGGCGAAGGCAGCCUCCUGGGAUAACACUGACGCUCAUGCACGAAAGCGUGGGGAGCAAACAGGA
rnacentral:rRNA from 1 species